GCAGAUGUAGUUCAUUGAUAGAAUAUCAGCUUCCCAAGCUGAGGAGGUGGGUUUGAUUCCCGUCAUCUGCU
rnacentral:tRNA from 1 species